UGGUUCUCAAGGAAGCAGGAAAUCUAGCGUUUGCGGAGAACUCUGAUCGACUCGGAGCCAAGAGGUGCGAAAAUUUUCCCUAUUAAACCCUAAUUAUACUCUUUAUGUGGCCGCUUGGAAACCCCAAUUUGUGUUUCAAACCGUAAAAUUGCGUUCCCCCUUGUUUUCUCAGUCCAAAUCCGUCGGUGUCUGAGGAUUGAAUGCGAAGCUUUGAAGAUAGAAUUGGUAAAGCUUCAGUGAUUUCUCAAAACGGAGAGUAGUUAUCUGGCUGAUCUCUGAGGAACUCAAUUCGUGGUUUGGCGUUCUUGGCGGUGAGAUGUGCAAAUUUCAAAAAAUUUUAAGGUGGUAGUAGAUUUGGACCUUUAGGGUGAUUGCUGAAAUUUUCGAAUCGGAUUUUGUGGUUUUGGCUGUCUAUAGUUUUUUGGAGCCUUUGAUCUUUGAGUUCUGGAUAUUGUGCUUGAUCUUGACCGAGUUCUCAUGCUUGUAAAAAACUGGAGUAUUUUGUGCUUGCUUAAGUGGAUUUAGGGAUUCUGGAGAGUGUGGAAGAGGGGUUCUAGAUGGGUAAGCCGCUGUUUUAUGAGAUCUUGGAAAAGCCUGCCACAAGUUGUGUUAUUGGGAUAUGUACUGCAAUUUGGUUCUACAUUCAGAAGAAAAAUAUUGGGUAUUCACAUGUGGGCUUGAGUUAUGACACCGCCAUCGAAGGUCAUUAUUGGAGGAUAAUAACAUCUGCAUUUUCACAUAUAAGCAUCUUGCAUCUAGUCUUCAAUAUGAGUGCACUUUGGAGCCUUGGAGUUGUGGAGCAGUUAGGUCACAUUGGACUAGGGGUGGAAUUUUAUCUUCAAUACACACUUGUGCUGGUAGUUUUGUCAGGUAUGCUAGUUUUAGGGGCUUACCAUGUUUUGAUCCAAAAAUUCAAGUUAGAGUAUUUCCGGAGGGUGACAGCUGUUGGGUACUCCUGUGUCGUUUUUGGCUGGAUGACUAUUCUUUCGGUGAAGCAACCAUCUUCCAAGUUGGAGCUUUUUGGGUUUCUGUCUCUUCCAAUCAGUUUUGCACCAUUUGAGUCGCUUAUAUUUACUUCAAUAAUUGUUCCAAAAGCAAGUUUUCUAGGCCACUUAUCUGGAAUAAUUGUUGGUUAUUCCAUUGCUUGGGGUUUGAUUCAUGGGGUGAACAAUUACUGGGCUAUUUCUAUGCUAGGAUGGAUGGUACUUUUAUUUGUGUUGAGUUUGAAGCGUUCUGGUGCAUUUGAUUUCAACUUUCUUGAGAUUGAAUCAGUUACAGAUCCAUCCUUUCCCUCUGUGCGGUUUCUUGGAAAUGGUAGGACCUUGCAGAUGACUUCGCUACCAGUUGCAGCUGCCGAACUUGUGUGACUCAUGGUUAAGCAACAGAUGCGUGGUUCACUUUGGGGUCAUCCUGUAUUUAAUCUGCAUGUUUUGUUUCCCAAGCCAGUAUUUUGUGCUUGGAACUAAGAGAAUUCUCUUCGAGCAGAAGUCUUCCGGGUUGCCAUUACAUGGUGUGAUACAGCUUUGCAACUCUCAUCUGCACCUUUAUCGAAUAAUGGAAUUGUUGGUUGCUUAUUACUGUUAAAACACAUAUCAUUUUGUUAUUCUUGCCAUUCCAUUAUCCAUGCCAAGCCAUGGUCUUACUGCAUUUUGUCAUUCUUACAUGGAUGAAGAAUUUGGUUGGGGAAGAUGCCUUCAGUGAUACUGUAGAGUUAAAUGUGUUAUUUGUUUUUCCUCUUUUUUUUUUUUUUUUGGUAGAGAUUUCUCACAUGGUUAUUUAUUUAUUUUUUCUCCUAGAAACUAGAAAUGACUCGUGAAUUAGAACCAUGCAGAGCCAACCCCAGAUCGGGAUAAAGGCUCGAUAUUGUAGUUCUAUGUAAUGCCAAACUGGCUGAAAAUGCUGUGUUCUUGGAAUAGAGAGCAAGUUGAUCUGGUCACCAUUGGAGUAGGGUGGAGAUUUAAGAUCAACAAAUACUUUUAUCAAGUAAGAUUUAGUCACUGAAUAACACAACUGCACAGCAAUUUGUUAAAUUCUUGUAAUCGUAGACAGAUUUUCUGGAAUUGACAAAUGUGAUUGGUUCAA